CUUCCGGAAGGCGAGAGGAGAGAGCCUGCGGUUGGCUCCCUAGAAGGAAAGCAAGCCGGAGGAGAGUUGUGUUGUGUGCAGCGGCGCUUGCAGCAAGUGAGCAGGAAGAAUCCGGGAGAGAGUGGAAGUUCGUAAUUUGAGUUUGUUAGUGCAAAACUGAAGAAACACAGCCAAUCAUUUAUUAAAGACCGCCUUGACGUUUCCCUCAGCUCAGGUACAUAUUUUACUAGACUGGGUUGUUAGGUCACUAGAAAGAAAGUAAACAAUUGUGUCAAGUGUGCGGCAACCCUUCAGGAAGAAACCAGGAGAGAUUGGAAGCUCAUCAUUUGAGUUCGUUGGUGCAAAGCUGAAGAAACGCAGCCAAUCAUUUAUUAAAGACCGCCUUGACGUUUCCCUCAGCUCAGAGACUGGUUACCCAAACUCCCACCCGAUGGCCUUGACACAUAUCUUAUUGGAGAGAGAGAUGUCACAUGGAUGCUUCUAGCUUCUGGACCUAGGAACCAUCUCUCUGAAACACAAUCAUCAAGGAAGAUAGCACCCGUAUCACCCAAUUUCUGUGAGAGCCCAGUGAUGAUCAAACUGCAAAACUACCACCUGUCA